AUUGAACGCUGGCGGCAUGCCUAACACAUGCAAGUCGAACGACAGCACGGUCUAGCUUGCUAGACGGGUGGCGAGUGGCGAACGGGUGAGUAACGCGUAGGAAUAUACCUUGAAGUGGGGGACAACCUGGGGAAACUCAGGCUAAUACCGCGUAAUCUCUUCGGAGGGAAGCUGGGGACCGCAAGGCCUGGCGCUUUAAGAUUAGCCUGCGUCCGAUUAGCUAGUUGGUGGGGUAAAGGCCUACCAAGGCGACGAUCGGUAGCUGGUCUGAGAGGAUGAUCAGCCACACUGGGACUGAGACACGGCCCAGACUCCUACGGGAGGCAGCAGUGGGGAAUAUUGGACAAUGGGGGGAACCCUGAUCCAGCAAUGCCGCGUGUGUGAAGAAGGCCUGAGGGUUGUAAAGCACUUUCGGCGGGGAGGAGGAUGAGUUGGUUAAGAGCUGACUUAUUGGACGUUACCCGCAUAAGAAGCACCGGCUAACUCCGUGCCAGCCGCCGCUGUAACAC
rnacentral:rRNA from 1 species